rnacentral:tRNA from 1 species
GUUCUUGUAGUUAAGACAAUAGUUAACGAUGGUGUUUCAAGCCAUAGACCUUGGAUAAAGGCCAAGCAAGAAUU